AGCCGAGCGGUAGAGAUUCUUCGGAAUCUUGAGAGCGGCGUACGGGUGCGGAACACGUGUGCAACCUACCUUUAUCAGGGGGAUAGCCUUUCGAAAGGAAGAUUAAUACCCCAUAAUAUAUUGAAUGGCAUCAUUUAAUAUUGAAAACUCCGGUGGAUAGAGAUGGGCACGCGCAAGAUUAGAUAGUUGGUAGGGUAACGGCCUACCAAGUCAAUGAUCUUUAGGGGGCCUGAGAGGGUGAUCCCCCACACUGGUACUGAGACACGGACCAGACUCCUACGGGAGGCAGCAGUGAGGAAUAUUGGACAAUGGGUGAGAGCCUGAUCCAGCCAUCCCGCGUGAAGGACGACGGCCCUAUGGGUUGUAAACUUCUUUUGUAUAGGGAUAAACCUACUCUCGUGAGAGUAGCUGAAGGUACUAUACGAAUAAGCACCGGCUAACUCCGUGCCAGCAGCCGCGGUAAUACGGAGGGUGCAAGCGUUAUCCGGAUUUAUUGGGUUUAAAGGGUCCGUAGGGCGGAUCUGUAAGUCAGUGGUGAAAUCUCAUAGCUUAACUAUGAAACUGCCAUUGAUACUGCAGGUCUUGNAGUAAAGUAGAAGUGGCUGGAAUAAGUAGUGUAGCGGUGAAAUGCAUAGAUAUUACUUAGAACACCAAUUGCGAAGGCAGGUCACUAUGUUUUAACUGACGCUGAUGGACGAAAGCGUGGGGAGCGAACAGGAUUAGAUACCCUGGUAGUCCACGCCGUAAACGAUGCUAACUCGUUUUUGGGUUUUCGGAUUCAGAGACUAAGCGAAAGUGAUAAGUUAGCCACCUGGGGAGUACGUUCGCAAGAAUGAAACUCAAAGGAAUUGACGGGGGCCCGCACAAGCGGUGGAUUAUGUGGUUUAAUUCGAUGAUACGCGAGGAACCUUACCAAGGCUUAAAUGGGAAUUGACAGGUUUAGAAAUAGACUUUUCUUCGGACAAUUUUCAAGGUGCUGCAUGGUUGUCGUCAGCUCGUGCCGUGAGGUGUUAGGUUAAGUCCUGCAACGAGCGCAACCCCUGUCACUAGUUGCCAUCAUUCAGUUGGGGACUCUAGUGAGACUGCCUACGCAAGUAGAGAGGAAGGUGGGGAUGACGUCAAAUCAUCACGGCCCUUACGCCUUGGGCCACACACGUAAUACAAUGGCCAGUACAGAGGGCAGCUACCAGGCGACUGGAUGCGAAUCUCGAAAGCUGGUCUCAGUUCGGAUUGGAGUCUGCAACUCGACUCUAUGAAGCUGAAUCG
rnacentral:rRNA from 1 species